rnacentral:rRNA from 1 species
AUUGAACGCUGGCGGCAGGCUUAACACAUGCAAGUCGAGCGAGCGGCGGACGGGUGAGUAAUGUCUGGGAAUCUGCCUGAUGGAGGGGGAUAACUACUGGAAACGGUAGCUAAUACCGCAUACCAUCAGAUGUCCCCAUAUGGGAUUAGCUAGUGGGUGGGGUAAUGGCUCACCGACGCGACGAUCCCUAGCUGGUCUGAGAGGAGGACCGGCUACACUGCAACUCAGACACGGACCCGACUCCUAGGCGAGUCAGAAGUGGAGAAGAUUGCACAAUGGGACAAUGGGCGAUGGAGCCAUGCCGCGGGGGUGCGGGAGGCAUUCGGGUUGUCAAGCUCUUACAGCGAGGAGCGGGUAGUCGGAGAAGAAGCACCGGCUAACUCCGUGCCAGCAGCCGCGGUAAUAC